UACGAAGGGGGCUAGCGUUGCUCGGAAUCACUGGGCGUAAAGCGCACGUAGGCGGGUUGCCAAGUCGGGGGUGAAAUCCUGGAGCUCAACUCCAGAACUGCCUUCGAUACUGGCGAUCUUGGAGUCCGGGAGAGGUGAGUGGAACUGCGAGUGUAGAGGUGAAAUUUCGUAGAUAUUCGCAAGAACACCAGUGGCGAAGGCGGCUCACUGGCCCGGUACUGACGCUGAGGUGCGAAAGCGUGGGGAGCAAACAGG
rnacentral:rRNA from 1 species